rnacentral:rRNA from 1 species
CCUACGGGUGGCAGCAGUGAGGAAUAUUGGUCAAUGGGCGCGAGCCUGAACCAGCCAAGUCGCGUGAGGGAGGACGGCCCUACGGGUUGUAAACCUCUUUUGCCGGGGAGCAACGGGCGUCACGUGUGGCGCCACUGAGAGUACCCGGAGAAAAAGCAUCGGCUAACCCCGUGCCAGCAGCCGGGGUAAUCGGGAGGAUGCGAGUGUUAUCCGGGUUUAUUGGGUUUAAAGGGUGCGUAGGCGGAUCGUGAAGUCGGUGGGCAAAUUGGGGGGCUCAACCCCUUCCCGCCAUUGAAACUGGCGUUCUUGAGUGGAAGAGAGGUAUGCGGAAUGCGUGGUGUAGCGGUGAAAUGCAUAGAUAUCACGCAGAACCCCGAUUGCGAAGGCAGCAUGCCGGCUUCCGACUGACGCUGAAGCACGAAAGCGUGGGGAUCGAACAGGAUUAGAUACCCUAGUAGUC